AUGGUCCCGUGUUUAUAUUUUCAUUCAUCAAUUGGAGAAUAAUACACAGCUCUCUGAUUUUCGAGCGAACUCGAUCGAGGAGCCGCUGCUGAUUUACCGUUCGUACGACGUUCCACACUGACACACUUUACUCGUACUCGCGCGUCCCGCACCCAAAAAGGUCGAAAUCAUCAUGUGGAUGUUAGUGUUCCUGGGGCUCUACCGAUUGUGCAGACUCAGGCCGGUCUUGGGACCGGUGCUCUUCUUCAUCGUCCUUAGCGGGUACAUUUUCUAUUACCACUGGCUCAUGCUGGAAGACGAACCGGUAAAGGUACCGAGGCCGAGGUAUAGCCUCUAAAUUGACCAAGACGCAAUGGCGCGAAUCCAAGGGGGUGGGUGGAUGGAGGUAGUGGACCGAUACGGCACGAUUUUGGACGAAGGACGACGGAUCGAAGAAUGUGAACCGGCUGGAAUGAUCAGCGAACAAUCCACGGUGUAUCUUGAGGCUUCUUCCGAGGGAGCCUGAGGUUUCCGUGGAGUGAGAUGACGAGGCCGACCGUCUAGUGGCUUUUGUCGCGAUUUCAAGGAAGCCUUGAGAUUUUUGCUAAUCCAAGUAGAGUACUUGUGGUUUACGAUUUACCAAUCGUACCAUUUCAUGUAGCCGUUGAGAGAAACGGAAACAUAUUCUUGAAUGAGCUUUGGCGAUCAAGGAGAAUAACCGCGAAUACAUCACUUGGACAUCAAGAAGCGCCCGCGAGGAAGAAGCCAAAAGAGCCGAGGGGAUGUUUGUGCGAACGUAUCGGUCGGUGCGUUGGACGAGGAUGCCUUAUAAUUACUAUAACUGCGCGUCGUAAACAUAUUUUUAUUGGACGAAAACUAAUUUAUUGUAAAAAAACAAAGUAGAAUUUGUUGUACGUUACAUGUAUUAUAUAGCCGUUCACCAAUGAGUACCCUUAGUAUUUGUUUGACAAUUGCAACAAAUGUAACAAUAAUUUUUUUGUUUGCACAUAAACUAUUUUAACACUAAGGUA